GUGGGGAAUAUUGGACAAUGGGCGAAAGCCUGAUCCAGCCAUGCCGCGUGUGUGAAGAAGGUCUUCGGAUUGUAAAGCACUUUAAGUUGGGAGGAAGGGCAGUAAGUUAAUACCUUGCUGUUUUGACGUUACCGACAGAAUAAGCACCGGCUAACUUCGUGCCAGCAGCCGCGGUAAUACGAAGGGUGCAAGCGUUAAUCGGAAUUACUGGGCGUAAAGCGCGCGUAGGUGGGUUUGUAAGUUGGAGGUGAAAUCCCCGGGCUCAACCUGGGAACUGCCUCCAAAACUGCAUGACUAGAGUACGGUAGAGGGUAGUGGAAUUUCCUGUGUAGCGGUGAAAUGCGGAGAUAUAGGAAGGAACACCAGUGGCGAAGGCGACUACCUGGACUGAUACUGACACUGAGGUGCGAAAGCGUGGGGAGCAAACAGGAUUAGAAACCCGGGUAGUCC
rnacentral:rRNA from 1 species